AUUGAACGCUGGCGGAAUGCUUUACACAUGCAAGUCGAACGGCAGCACGGACUUCGGUCUGGUGGCGAGUGGCGAACGGGUGAGUAAUGUAUCGGAACGUGCCCAGUCGUGGGGGAUAACGUAGUGAAAAUUACGCUAAUACCGCAUACGAUCUAUGGAUGAAAGCGGGGGAUCGCAAGACCUCGCGCGAUUGGAGCGGCCGAUAUCAGAUUAGGUAGUUGGUGGGGUAAAGGCCCACCAAGCCAACGAUCUGUAGCCGGUCUGAGAGGACGACCAGCCACACUGGAACUGAGACACGGUCCAGACUCCUACGGGAGGCAGCAGUGGGGAAUUUUGGACAGUGGGCGAAAGCCUGAUCCAGCCAUUCCGCGUGCAGGAUGAAGGCCCUCGGGUUGUAAACUGCUUUUGUACAGAACGAAAAGGUUUCUACUAAUACUAGGAGCUCAUGACGGUACUGUAAGAAUAAGCACCGGCUAACUACGUGCCAGCCGCCGCGUAAG
rnacentral:rRNA from 1 species